AUUGAACGCUGGCGGCAGGCUUAACACAUGCAAGUCGAGCGGAGCGAGGGUGCUUGCACCUUAGCUUAGCGGCGGACGGGUGAGUAAUGCUUAGGAAUCUGCCUAUUAGUGGGGGACAACAUUCCGAAAGGAAUGCUAAUACCGCAUACGCCCUACGGGGAAAGCAGGGGAUCUUCGGACCUUGCGCUAAUAGAUGAGCCUAAGUCGGAUUAGCUAGUUGGUGGGGUAAAGGCCUACCAAGGCGACGAUCUGUAGCGGGUCUGAGAGGAUGAUCCGCCACACUGGGACUGAGACACGGCCCAGACUCCUACGGGAGGCAGCAGUGGGGAAUAUUGGACAAUGGGCGCAAGCCUGAUCCAGCCAUGCCGCGUGUGUGAAGAAGGCCUUUUGGUUGUAAAGCACUUUAAGCGAGGAGGAGGCUACUUAGAUUAAUACUCUAGGAUAGUGGACGUUACUCGCAGAUAAGCACCGGCUAACUCUGUGCC
rnacentral:rRNA from 1 species